AAACCGUUCAGGGGUAAACCUGAGAAACCCAAAAGAUCGAAUGGGGAGAUUCAUCGCCAGCUUUAACGGCUUGCGUGCUGCUCGCGAUGCUCGUCUUGGGGACGUGUUAAAGCGUUCUUUUUUGACGGGCACGCGGUAGCUGCGCAAUUUUGUGUCGUUGAAGUCGGUGUGCACUUCUCCCCUAGUAGGACGUCGCGACCCGUUGAGUGUCGGUCUAAGGCCCGCGAGGUUGACUGCCGGCGCGUUGAUUUUUCGAAAUUGACGUCGUCGGUAGACCCGCGGUCGCCCGACCGACUGCUCGGCGGUAUAAAUUGUUUGAAUGUUCAAUGGUAUCGAGCCGCAUUUUUUUAUGCGUUCUUUAUGACUCGUCGGCAGGUGAGCCUCGCCUCGGAUUUACGGACCUGGUGCCGUUGUCGAGCGAGUCGUUUGCCGUUUUGCCGACGAUGUUCUCGGACGGGCUCUAUAAAGGCGCGCGUUCGCGCGCGCCUUUUGUUACCAGUCAGCGACGCUACUGCUUUGGGUACUUUCAGGACCCGUCUUGAAACACGGACCAA
rnacentral:rRNA from 1 species